UAGAAAGUGGUGUAGUGGAAGCACUAGGAGUUUUGAUCUCCUGGGGAAGGGUUCAAGUCCCUUUUUUCUAA
rnacentral:tRNA from 1 species